rnacentral:lncRNA from 1 species
GUUUCAUUGAAGAUGUCACUUCGCAUAGAUUUCUUUUUCUUUCCUGUUUAUAUGGCCUAUCCGUCUUGUCCUCUGCGCGUCGUAUAGAUUUCUGCCUUCCAAAGCACGUAUAUAUUUAAAUUAACAUUUCUAGCUUCACAUUGCAAUGCAACCUCGCUUACAAAUAACUGUAGGUAACUGUUAAACUAACCUGUCAGCGGAGAGCGCAUAAGUACAAGAAGUACAAGAUGGCAUCACGCGACGUCGUUUCCAGCGACGUCGCGUCAUACCAUCUGUCGGGAGGCAAAAUUUUAACUCCUCUUUUUCUAUCCUAAUGUUUUCUGCUGCCUUCUUCCUUUUCUCCAGCAUAGUUUAGGCAACUUUCGUCAUUUGAUAAAUUCUAUCUUCCACAGGAUUCGAUGCUGCGUCCUAUCGGUCCGUAGGCCACUGGAUCAUAUGGACUACGCCGAGCUUUCGUUCUACUGGGAACUGUUUGAGUCAUAGUUGGCUCGUCUGCGGGCCUGAUUCCAUAUCAAAAGUGCAUUUCUUGUUAUUACCUACUGCACAUGUCUAGCGUCUUUACCUCGAUUUAAAGUGACGCCAGUCGCGUUUCUAUCUGUCGCUCGUUGCACGCGCCAGCGCAGCGUCCGCGAAAUUUCGAACUAUAGCUAGUUAAACAACGUAUUCGUUCACACCAGGUUUAAACACAGCGCGGCGCUAAGCGAAAAAACGAUCGCGUAGGCGGUGAUUUUUUAUCCCGGGCAUCGGAGGUGCUCAAAUAUAUCCCGGUCGAAUCGGUCGGUUUGGGAUCCGAAGAAAAAUACUCUCACAAAUAGCCCGCUCGCACACGGAGAAGGAACCCCUGCCUUUUAACACCCGACAUGCCGUCGAAUUGGCCAGUUGGGGUCCGAAGGAACAGUCGGAAGGCCGCUCCCGAUAUUCCUGUGGGCCCGAAAAAAGGCCCCCUGGGCAACAACCCUCUCAAACAGAGAAGAAAGAAAGAAAAACACCCCAUUUCGGUUUUUAGGCUAGGUAUCGGCGUUUCCGUCCGCAACCAAUCCGUCAGUUUUGAUGCGACCGCUCAAGCAGCAAUGAAUAUAGUUCGCGAUAGAACAUGCCCUCCGCGGUCAAGUUACUUCGACUAUUACCAGAUAAACAUUCCACAUUAUUAGCGAUGGUAAAAAGUAAACUGUUAUUGGAUGAACGAAACAGAAAUUCGCUAUUCUAUUGGAUGAAUUAACUUUUGCAAUCCAUAAGCUCUCUAUCAUAUAAAGCAGACCAUCUUUAGUUGAAAAGAGUACCGAGCGUUUAAGAAUAAUAAAUUGAAAAUUACACGUCAUCCCAAAAGUAAUAUCAUUUUUAGCAUUAAGUUUUUGAAAGAAUAUGAACGAUCCAUUUGAAUCAAUAACAUUCUUCUAACGUUGUGAAAGUUUAUUUGUAUUUAUAAAGCUUUAAAAAUUUAUGUUUAGACAAGGUGGGACACGUUUGAACAAGUAUAGCAUAAAAAAACGACAUUACUUUUGGGAUAAA